rnacentral:lncRNA from 1 species
GGCUGCUUGAGAUAGAUAUGAAUUCUUAGAAGCAAAAAGGAAUGUUUUUGUUUCUUUGGUGUGUGUGUGUGUGUGUGUGUGUGUUUGAGAGAAAGGGGGGAUGGGGUGGGUGAGGGAGAGGGAGAAUCUUAAGCAGGCUCCAUACCCAGCACCCAGCCUGAUGUGGGGAUCGAUUUCAUGACUAUGAGAUCAUGACCUGAGCCAAAACCAAGAGUCAGAAGCUUCACUGACUGAGCCACCCAGGCACCCAAAAAAGGAGUGUUAGAAGGAGUGAACGGUACAGAGAAUUAAAUGCUGCUAAGGUUAUUUUUAAUGUCAACAUUCAAUAACUAAUUAUGGAAUGGUAAAUAACUUUAUCUGGUUUUGAAACAUUAAAUGGUAUUUCUGCCUUCUUAAUUAUUAAGCUGAUGAAAAUACUAUAUGUUGAAUUAGGACCUGAUUUACCAAAUACAGUUUUUUUAAACAUUGAAGAGAAAGACGUGGUUUCUUUUAGAAAGUUUCUGUUUUAAAAUACAGUCUGGAGAUACAUAAAGAAGGGAGAAGCACUGGCAGAUGCUGAACAUAAUGGCCCUCGUCUCGUAACAGACAAGAAGUGUAAGCUCCCUUAACAGGCUGUUAUUUGGGAACUAACCAACAGACACUGUGUGAGGCUCUUCUACAAGCUGAAUAUCUGAAGAUGUUAAAACCUCCCUGUGGGAUUGGCCUUCUUUUUUCUUAAUUUUGAGAUGGAAAAACACUGUUUUGAAUUUCUUCUUCGCUCCAGUUGGCCAGCUUGGUUGAAAAAAGGAGCGAUGUUUCCAGCCUCAUGGAUGAUCCAAGGAAGUUAUCCGCAGCUUUCAGGAAGAAGCUGGAGCCAGUGGAAAUGUUACAACCCUGAAAGGGGAAUAAUGGAACAGGACUGAAGCUUUUAGGAUUAUAGCACUACCUCCCAUACAACUGAAAGGAAAUGGAUAACUAUGUGUGGAAACAGAGUGUUCAAUUUUGUGAUGUUUCUGACAGAGGCAGUGGUGACCAGUGUGCUCCAGACCUUGUCCUUUGUGCUGCUGCCUCUGGGCCAUGGAGUCCCAGCAAACACCUCAUACAGGUCUGCUUGCUUUGGAUUGCUUCUUCACAAAGGGGGAAGUGUGUUUCUCCCCUUCUCAUUUACCUUUUCCAAUGUUUCAUUUCACUAAUCUCUCUUCUUUUCUUAACAGCUUUACUUCCUUCAUUGUUGUUUUUUUCUUUAAUUUUACUUUAUUUCUAAUUGCCUCAUCUUGAAUGAGCUUCCAGUGUCUAAAAUUAGAAUUCUUCAGAAUCCUAAGAAGAUCUAAGGAGACAUUAAAUGUGUUCCAUUUUCCAAAAGACAAAUCUGGAACAUUUAAAUUGUUUACUAAAGGUCAUAUAAUACUAGGAUUCAAAGUUCUUUACCAUUGGGACAUUUUAUCUAAGGAAUAAUUGGGAUUAUAUACAUCACACUACCUUUCAAUCAGAAAUUUAUCAAGGAAAACCUGCCUUAUAGUAUGACCUUUGGCUUUUAUAAUUCAGAUUGAAAGAAUGCUUGCUCAUUUUGCCACUGAGCACAUUAGCAUCCUGUAUCUUCACAAGGUUAAUUUAAUGGACUGCUAUGCAUAUUGAUGAAUACUUCUGUGUUUUCUCAAAGUCACCAAAUUAGAAUUUCUGAAUGUUCAUUAGCCACAUAUGCAAUAGGAGUAGUCUAAAGUCAAUGAAUUUCUGUUAUGCCCUUUCUAAAACUGAUAUUAAAAUUGCAUAUGCAAAUUUAAGUUCAAAUUGUUGUGAUAAAAGUAGACAUGUAAGUAAAAAAAACUCAUUAUUUUCAUUUUUCAAAGUUACUAAGUUCAUUAGUGGUUAUUUAUUGGGUUAAGACAUUGAAUCAGAAAAUGGGCCUCUGUCUUUCUCUGAGUAUUCAAGUUUAGAAAUGCCUUACUUAAAAUGCAAGAAAUUUCCAGUAAGUUUCCAGGCUGCAGAGAUACAUUAUUUAUGUUAACAAACUGGAAAGAGUUCAUUUGCUUUAAUAUUUAUAAGGGAGAUCAAUGAGACAUACAAUGCAGUAUUACUAAGCUCUAAAACCACUACAAAACAUAGAUUCAAUUAAUGUAAUGUUAACCAAAGAAUACACUCAGCAAUUCAUAAAUAAAUAAUUAUAAUAAAUGUCCA